rnacentral:rRNA from 1 species
GUCUUUUUGAUUAUAAUUUAAAGUCUAACCUGCCCAAUGAAAAUUUUGAAUGGCUGCGGUAUUUUGACCGUACUAAGGUAGCAUAAUCAUUAGUUUCUUAAUUAGGAGCUGGAAUGAAUGGUUGAAUGAGAAAAUAGCUGUCUCAAAUUAAAUAAUUAGAACUUUAUUUUUAAGUUAAAAAGCUUAAAUUUAAUUAAAAGACGAGAAGACCCUAUAGAGUUUAAUAAUAAAUUAUUAUUUAAUAUUAAGAUUAUUUUAUUUUAUAUUAAUUUUAUUAUUUAAUUGGGGUGAUUAGAAAAUUUAAUAAACUUUUCUUUAAUUUAAACAUUAAUUUAUGAAUAUUUGAUCCAAAAUUUUUGAUUAUAAGAUUAAAUUACCUUAGGGAUAACAGCGUAAUUUUCUUUUAGAGUUCUUAUCGAAAAGAAAGUUUGCGACCUCGAUGUUGGAUUAAAAUUAAUAUUUAGCGCAAAAGUUAAACUAUUAAGUCUGUUCGACUUUUAAAAUUUUACA